CCUACGGGGGGCUGCAGUGGGGAAUAUUGGACAAUGGGCGAAAGCCUGAUCCAGCCAUGCCGCGUGUGUGAAGAAGGCCUUCGGGUUGUAAAGCACUUUCAGUGGGGAAGAAAGCCUUGGGGCUAAUACCCUCGAGGAAGGACAUCACCCACAGAAGAAGCACCGGCUAACUCCGUGCCAGCAGCCGCGGUAAUACGGAGGGUGCGAGCGUUAAUCGGAAUUACUGGGCGUAAAGCGCGCGUAGGCGGUCUGAUAAGCCGGUUGUGAAAGCCCCGGGCUCAACCUGGGAACGGCAUCCGGAACUGUCAGGCUAGAGUGCAGGAGAGGAAGGUAGAAUUCCCGGUGUAGCGGUGAAAUGCGUAGAGAUCGGGAGGAAUACCAGUGGCGAAGGCGGUCUUCUGGACUGACACUGACGCUGAGGUGCGAAAGCGUGGGUAGCAAACAGGAUUAGAUACCCCGGUAGUC
rnacentral:rRNA from 1 species